GAAAGAAAUUUUGACAAAAAACCGUUGAAGGCGAGGUUCGAACCUACGACCUCGGGUCGGACUGACCCAACCGAACCUGGCCCGACCAGUUGAGCUACGCUCGUUCUGUUAACUAGGUAUGGAGAGAAAAAUAUUUAAAGUAAAGUUAUAUGGAAACCCUAGAGAUAAUAAGUGGGAAAAACUUAAGUGAUUUUUGGGAAAAUGAUCUUUUUCUCCCGAAAUCCUUUCUCUCCUCACCUCUCUCGCGCGACAGCGGCGGCUCGGGCGGAAAACACCUCGAGGCGACGGCGCUAGGGUUCCUCUCCAGUGCCGGCGAAAGGAUUCUUCCGGUCGGCCUUCACCCGUACGUGGUCACCGUGACGAAGGGAGCUCGGGAACUCAAGGGAGCCGCCGAGAUCUUCAAGCUUCACCCGAAACCCUAGAAUUUUGCUCUUCUCCGGUUGUAAGUCCAAGAGCAGUGAGAUAAAGAAAAAGCUAAAGUAUGAAAGGAAGGCGACAAGGUGGUGGUGAUGAAGGUGUGUGAUGACUGGACUAUGGAGAGAUCAUGAGUUUGCUAAGGAAACUGUCAAGACUCCUUCUUUGGAGUUUUCUUUCAGUUAUUAAAUUGAUAGAGAUUGUUUUAGUAGUUUCCCUUUGUCUAUGUUAAGUUCAUUUCGCAUUGUAGUUGAGUUAUUUCCUAUUGUUGGAGUUCUUUUGUUUACUAUUGCUAGGAUAGUUUAUUUUUAGUUAUAUAUAAACUGCGUGGUGAUAUUAUUGCUUUGUA